AUGGAUCCCUUCCACCACCUCAACACCGCCUUCUCCAACCCCUACCACCCGCUCCUCUCCUCCUCCCCUCCCCACCCCUACCACCCUCCGCCCCCUCUCCCGCCUCCGCCCGCCGCCGACCCGCCCGAGCGGGAGCGCCUGCCGCAGUGGUCGCACGCCGAGACGGCCGCCUUCCUCGCCAUCCGCGCCGACCUUGACCACUCCUUCCUCUCCACCAAGCGCAACAAGGCCCUCUGGGAGGCCGUCUCCGCGCGCCUCAACGCGCAAGGCGGAUUCGCGCGCACCCCCGACCAGUGCAAGUCCAAGUGGAAGAACCUCGUCACCAGGUUCAAGGGCACGGCCAGCGACGCGCAGCCGGAGGGCGGGGACCAUCCCGCCGGCGCGGCGGCGAGGGGCAGCUUCCCGUUCCACGACGAGAUGAGGAGGAUCUUCGACGCCAGGGUCGAGAGGGCGCGCGCAUUGGAGGCCAAGAAGGCCAAGGGGAAGGACGCCGCCGCGCGGCGCGAUCCGGACGACGAUGGCGGCGGCGAGGGCGACGAGGGCGAGGACGACGAGGAGGAGGCGGAGAUGGUCGACGAGGAGGAGGGCAGGGCCGAUGCGGAGGCGCGGGGCGCGGGGAGGAAGCGGAGAAGGAAGGCGGCGCCGGCGAGGACCGCGUCAGCGGGAGGAGGGGUCGAGAUAGGCGAGGUCGAGGCGGUGCUGCGGGAGUUCAUGCGGCGGCAGAUGGAGAUGGAGGAUCGGUGGAUGGAGGCCGCGGAGGCGCGCGACGCCGAGCGCCGGGCGCGCGAGGAGGAGUGGCGCGCCGCCAUGGUCGCGCUCGGCGAGGAGCGGCUCGCGCUCGUGCGCCGCUGGCGCGAGCGCGAGGACGCGUGGAGGGCGCGCGCCGAGGAGCGCGAGGAGCGCCGGCACCAGCUCGUCGCCGCCCUGCUGGCCAAGCUCGGCGGCGACACGUCGUCCUAA
rnacentral:rRNA from 1 species